CUCUCUAUAUAUAUAUAUAUAUAUAUAUAUAUAUACCCCAACUUCACUCUCCUUACCUUCAUCUUCUCCCUCCUACAACCAUUGUUGAACCUCCCUUCAUUUUCACCUCCAAUUUCACCGCCUAAUUAUCUCCUCUUCUGCGAUUACUCGGUGCGAUUUCCUCUUUACAAGCUUUUCGGAGAUCUUGCUGUCAUACGUUAGAAUAUCACUGAGGCAUAAACCUGUUAUUAAGGAUCGUUUGUUUACUAUUGUUCUUGUUGGAGCUUUUGCACAUGGCGCUUAUCUAGUGUAUACUUUUACCUUUCACAUUUUAAAGUUUUUGUGUUAUUUUCCUGCUAGUUUUAUAGUUUAAUUAAUGUGAGAUGAAUUGUUUAGAAUUUUGUAUUGAAUGAUUGAUUAUGUCUUUUGAUUGUUUUUAUGAAAAUGCAGUUGCUGUUGUUUUCCUAGAUGGUAUGUUGAUUUGUAGUUGUUGAUAUGUUGUAUGUUGUAGGACUAAAAAUUGUGAAUAUUUCGAAUGGUUCGAAGUUUGAUUAAAUGUCCUAUGAAUAGGCAGUUUGUGUUUCUUAACAAUGAUGAGAUUAAUGCAGGAAAUUGAAGGAGGGGAUGUAUAUGUUGGAUUAUGUAUGAGUUUAUUUGAGUAUGGAUUGUUCAAUGAGGGGUAGAGAUUAGAGAGCUAAGUAGGGUUGCUAUGUGAUGAUAGAGUGUAGAUGAAGCUGCCUUCAAGUUUAUUGAUUGUGGGUUUGCUGAGAGGUUUAGUUUUCUUGGGUUAGCAUGUAUAGAUGAAAAGAUACAUGAAACAUGACGAUUCAUUUUGGACCCAACAAGUGUAAGAUUUUCUGAAAAAUGGAUUAUAUGUGACAUUCGGACAUAUAUUAAUCUAGUAAAUAUACCCUUGAUGCCAGACGCACACUAGUAGUUGAGUUGUGUAACAUAAAUCAUCAGUCAUUUUCUCAGCAUCUCCUUAGGAGAAAACUCUGUAUGGCAUAUGUUAUAUAGGGAAUGGAUGAUGAAAGAUUGUUGUGAACUUGUGAUGUGGUACUCUGUAUCAUAUAUCUCAAAUCUAGAUAGGCAAUAUCUGAUUAAUUUUUCUAAGUACAAAGUAAUACUUGGACUCCAACAUUCUUCUGAAUUAAGGUUUUCUUGAUCAGAAUUUUCUGAAUAAGCAGUGUUUUCUCAGUACAAAUUAAUAGACUCCCAAAAUUAGGUUUUUUUUAUCAGAAUUUUCCAAUUAAGAUGUUUAGUCUCAGGUAACUCUAUUUCUUGCUAGGUGGAUGUUGUUAACAUAGUUUUCAAAGGUUUAUCUUAGGGGGUGGGGGGAGGGGAAGGAGCAAUGGUGUAAAAGCUGGCUUUGUUUACAAUAGUUGAUAUCUUGAUAUUUUUACUCAAAUUUGUAUUUAGUAGCUAGUUUUGAGGAAGCAUUAGUUGCUAGUAUGUGAGAAUAUGCUAAAACUCCAAUGGAAGCUCUUGAUUACAUGUAUGGAUGUAUAUUAAUGUUUUCUUUUAUGUGAGUAUAUUCUCAGAUUUGUUUUCGUUUAUGUUUAUCAUUUCUUUCCACAUCAGAUCAGGUUACUGAAGUUGGGACGAAGGUGCAAAAAUUCAAAGUCGGGUAAAAAGUUGGGGUGGGAUGUAUGGUUAGAUCAUGUCGUUCAUGUGAUAACUGUGGCAAGAAUCUUGAGAAUUACUGUCCCAACAUGUUUCUAACUUAUGGAUCUACUUACUAUGACGGCACAAAUACGUAUGGAGGUUACUCCGACAUUAUGGUGGUAGACGAGCAUUUUGAUAUACAUAUUCUUCAGAAAAUGGCACUUGAUGCUACUGCCCCGCUUUUAUGUGCAGGCAUCACUGUCUAUAGCCCUUUGAGAUACUAUGGUCUCGACAAACCUGGACUACAUGUUGGUGUUGUUGGCCUUGGCGGUCUAGGACACCUGGCUGUGAAAUUUGCUAAGGCUCUCGGGACUAAGGUCACUGUUAUUAGUACCUCAGCUAAUAAGAAGGAUGAAGCUGUCAAACGUCUUGGUGCUAAUUUCUUUUUGGUCAGUCGCGAUCUUGAACAAAUGUAGGUAGCGUACAAACCCCUUCUUGUUCUAGCUCUAGCUGAAUUUUGUUAUUCUAAAGUAGUGAAUUGAACAAGACGUUUUUUGAUGUAAUUUUGUU